GUGGGAGGGGGCUUGCCCCCGAUAGCGGUGUGUCAGUCAGCUCAUCUUUAACUGAUCCACUGCAAUCGGGGGCAAGCCCCCUCCCAC
rnacentral:antisense_RNA from 2 species